GACGAACGCUGGCGGCGUGCCUAAUACAUGCAAGUUGAGCGAUGAAGAUUGGUGCUUGCACCAAUUUGAAGAGCAGCGCACGGGUGAGUAACGCGUGGGGAAUCUGCCUUUGAGCGGGGGACAACAUUUGGAAACGAAUGCUAAUACCGCAUAACAACUUUAAACAUAAGUUUUAAGUUUGAUAGAUGCAAUUGCAUCACUCAAAGAUGAUCCCGCGUUGUAUUAGCUAGUUGGUGAGGUAAAGGCUCACCAAGGCGAUGAUACAUAGCCGACCUGAGAGGGUGAUCGGCCACAUUGGGACUGAGACACGGCCCAAACUCCUACGGGAGGCAGCAGUAGGGAAUCUUCGGCAAUGGACGAAAGUCUGACCGAGCAACGCCGCGUGAGUGAAGAAGGGUUUCGGAUCGUAAAACUCUGUUGGUAGAGAAGAACGUUGGUGAGAGUGGAAAGCUCAUCAAGUGACGGUAACUACCCAGAAAGGGACGGCUAACUACGUG
rnacentral:rRNA from 1 species